rnacentral:rRNA from 1 species
AUUGAACGCUGGCGGCAUGCCUUACACAUGCAAGUCAAACGGUAACAGGUCUUCGGAUGCUGACGAGUGGCGAACGGGUGAGUAAUACAUCGGAACGUGCCCGAUCGUGGGGGAUAACGAAGCGAAAGCUUUGCUAAUACCGCAUAAGAUCUAAGGAUGAAAGCAGGGGACCGCAAGGCCUUGCGCGAACGGAGCGGCCGAUGGCAGAUUAGGUAGUUGGUGGGAUAAAAGCUUACCAAGCCGACGAUCUGUAGCUGGUCUGAGAGGACGACCAGCCACACUGGGACUGAGACACGGCCCAGACUCCUACGGGAGGCAGCGGUGGGGAAUUUUGGACAAUGGGCGAAAGCCUGAUCCAGCCAUGCCGCGUGCAGGAUGAAGGCCUUCGGGUUGUAAACUGCUUUUGUACGGAACGAAAAGACUCUUUCUAAUAAAGAGGGUCCAUGACGGUACCGUAAGAAUAAGCACCGGCUAACUACGUGCCAGCAGCCGCCGUAA